CCUACGGGUGGCAGCAGUAGGGAAUAUUGCUCAAUGGGGGAAACCCUGAUGCAGCAACACCGCGUGGAUGAUGAAGGUUUUAGGAUUGUAAACUCCUUUUGUUAGAGAAGAUUAUGACGAUAUCUAACGCAUAAGCACUGGCUAAAUCCGUGCCAGCAGCCGCGGUCAUACGGAGGGUGCAAGCGUUACUCGGAAUCACUGGGCGUAAAGAGUGCGUAGGCGGGUGAAUAAGUCAGAUGUGAAAUCCUGUAGCUUAACUAGAGAAUUGCAUUUGAAACUGGUACUCUGGAGUGUGGGAGAGGUAGGUAGAAUUCUAGGUGUAGCGGUAAAAUGCGUAGAGAUGUAGAGGAAUACUCAUGGCGAAGGCGACCUGCUGGACCAAUACUGACGCUGAGGUACGAAAGCGUGGGGAGCAAACAGGAUUAGAUACCCGUGUAGUC
rnacentral:rRNA from 1 species